rnacentral:misc_RNA from 1 species
GAUGAAGAACGUAUCGAAAUGCGAUAAGUAAUGUGAAUUGCAGAAUUCAGUGAAUCAUCGAAUCUUUGAACGCACAUUGCGCCCGCCAGCACUCUGGCGGGCAUGCCUGUUCGAGCGUCAUUUCAACCAUCAAGCCCCCAGGGGCUUGUGCUGGGGCCCUGCGGCUGCCCGCAGGCCCUGAAAACCAGUGGCGGGCUCGCUAGUCACACCGAGCGCAGUAGCACAUCUCGCUCAGGGCGUGCGGCGGGCUCCUGCCGUGAAACCCCCCACUGUAACCCCAAAGGUUGACCUCGGAUCAGGUAGGAAUACCCGCUGAACUUAAGCAUAUCAAUAAGCGGAGGA